rnacentral:rRNA from 1 species
GAGUUUGAUCAUGGCUCAGAUUGAACGCUGGCGGUAUGCUUAACACAUGCAAGUCGAACGGUAGCAGGCCUUCGGGCGCUGACGAGUGGCGGACGGGUGAGUAACGCGUAGGAAUCUGCCUCAUAGUGGGGGACAACGUGGGGAAACUCACGCUAAUACCGCAUACGCCCUACGGGGGAAAGCGGGGGACCUUCGGGCCUCGCGCUAUGAGAUGAGCCUGCGUUAGAUUAGCUAGUUGGUAGGGUAAAGGCCUACCAAGGCGACGAUCUAUAGCUGGUCUGAGAGGACGAUCAGCCACACUGGGACUGAGACACGGCCCAGACUCCUACGGGAGGCAGCAGUGGGGAAUAUUGGACAAUGGGCGCAAGCCUGAUCCAGCAAUACCGCGUGUGUGAAGAAGGCCCUAGGGUUGUAAAGCACUUUCAAUGGGGAGGAAAACAGUCAGAUUAAUACCCUGGCUCUUGACAUUACCUUUAGAAGAAGCACCGGCUAACUCCGUGCCAGCAGCCGCGGUAAUACGGAGGGUGCGAGCGUUAAUCGGAAUUACUGGGCGUAAAGCGUGCGUAGGCGGUUCGUUAAGUCAGAUGUGAAAGCCCCGGGCUUAACCUGGGAACUGCAUUUUGAACUGGCGAACUAGAGUUUA